ensembl:lncRNA
AAAUUGAAUUGAACCAAAUUCAAUUGAGUGAAUAGAAUAAAAAAAAAAAUAUUAGAAUCGAAUCGAUCUAGGCUUCAAUGAAUCAAAUUGAUUCCUGGAAAUUAUUGGAGAUAUCCAGCCUUAAUACGGAUUCAUUGAUGUGUCUUUACAGAAUGUAACCCUGCAGCUGCUUGAAGGCGCAGAUCUCAAAUCCCAGAUGACCCCAGUUUAAUGAAGAAGAAGCAAGAGAGCAUGAAGACAGACAAAAAAAUCCCAAGAAAGUGUCUACAAAUAGACAAAGAGAUGUUAAAGAGAGAGAAACAGUAGAAACUGUGAAUGUAGCUGAGUUAAGGUCUAACAAAGUCAGUGAGUCUGAUGGUAUUCAGGAAGCUACCACCACACAGAACAAGACUGAAGUGUCUCCUGAUUUUCAUGCAAGCACUAAGGUAGAACCAGCAGAACCAGAGGUGGCAGCAGAGUCCAACGAGGAGCCAGAGCAGAACUCUGCUGCUGACUCCACCACAGAACCAGUGGAGCCGGAUGACGGGCCAGAAGAGGCUCCACAGGUUGACAAGCAGGAAAACAAUUCUUUAGCUGGAGUUGAGGCUGGAGCAGAAAGUCCAGGAGAAACAAAGACUUCUCAGAGAACUUUGGAACCUCCAGUCAACCCUCCUCCACCACCAUCUGCUCUCCAGAACAGCUCCACAGACCACACCGAUGUUGCUGAGGGAGUCCAUGAACACGAUGAAGAGCGGGAACUUAAAGCAGACAGAACUUCUGCCAAACCCACGGCUGAAGAGGAGGAGGAGGAGGAAAUGAGCUUGAAAGGAUGUCCCCCACCUGCUCCCUUAUUUGGAGACGAAGAAGAUGAUGAUCUGGACUGGCUAAAUUGACAAAAAGAAGCGUCUAUGUUUGAUUUUAUCUUCUUUUUUACAGAAAAAGGCUUUAACCCAGUUUGCCUUUUAGGUCAGGUGAUGAGGGAUGAGGCCAGUUCAAGUGAAGGACUGGCAGUGGUUCCAUCAUUCAGCCACAUCAGACAGUUAAAGGCAGGAUUUACAUAAUCAAAUACCUUUACUUACAAUUUGAUUUAAUGUUGAGAGUUGAGCUCAAAUUAAAUUUGGAGUCUUAAGAUUCCAUAUUUUUGUAAAUGAAUCUGUAGCAGGUUGUUAAAUCAGCAGGAAUAAUGUUGCCUUCAAAUCACACAUUUUUAGAAAAAAAAUUGUUCACAUUUCCAACAUGAAUCUCUUUCAAAAUAAUUUAAAAAUGUGUAUAAGUGUAGAAGCUGUUUUUUGUGUUCUUAUUUCUAAAACUUUACUACUUGUGAUAAGUAUUUUCCUCUGACUUAUCAUUAAAAUAUUUUAAUUAAAAGUACGAAACACAUCCUCUGUCCUCUCUUUGUGUGAUGUUCUACCUAAUCUAUCUGGAAACACCUUGAAGGUGCAGCUUGGACUCAUCCUCAGAGAAGAAUCCGGGGUCAGAGGUUGUCUGGUGUUGGGAACCGGAGGUGAUCAGGCUGCAGUUUGUGUUUGAACAACCUGAGGCUGUUCCAGCAAUAAAUGUCUUCUAUUAAUAUAAUAGCAACCUUCUGAUCCUAAAAGCUUGAAGGCAAGUUUAUUAGUAUAGCAGAUUUCAUGUACAGAGACAAUUA